UAUGGAGAUUAUUGGCUUGCGUGAUUUGUACACAGUCCUGUUAAUGCAGCCCGCAAGAGGAUUAGCUUUUAGAGCAGCUAAGUCACAUCAAGCUGAACUUAGGUCAACAGAAUCACUCCAGUCUUUUCACAGAAAAUAGUCAAGCUAUUUUUUUCCCAUCAUCUAUAUUUGAUGGAACUUGAAUAUUUGAGAUGGUAUUUGGAACUCAAACUCAUGGCUGUUAAAUUUCAUCUUGUUGCUCUUGAAUGAGGCUUCCAACCUCUCAAGAGCUUUUAAAAGUCUCCAUCAUGUUCGCCUUCUCUCCUAGCUUCAUGUCAUCCACAGAUUUGAAAACUUGGCUCUCUUGUACCCUAGCACCAUUAGGCUUGUCUGAGACCAGUCUGGAGGCAUACUCAGUCAAUGACCGGAGUCUCAUUUGGGUAUCAGAUGUUGCCCAGUAUCUCAAAGCCUGGACUGCGGUCAGACAGCUGAGCCAGUCACAGAUAUUCUUGUGAGAGGCGUUAUAGGGGGUGUCAGGGAGCUGUAGCUGGAUUGUACUGGAAUACAGUGGUACUGGAGGCAACUGCAGAUGUGAAUUUCAGUAAAACAAGAGGACAGAUUGGUGAACUCAGUUAUCCUGAUGGAGGACUCAGCCUAGGACUUCUUCUGGCUACAUGGGUGAAUGACCUUUGCUGUCUCAUUGGCCUCACCAACCUGGUCUGCAGAGAGUAGCCUUCUCCCUUGCCUCUGCCUUCCUCCAAGUUGCUUGAUAAAAACGCUGGUCUAGACAGCACCAAAGGCAAAGCCACUAAAGACCUGGGUAUUUUUACACCUAUACAUCCACAAAGAGCCAAGUUCAGGAAGCAUGAGGGAGAGGGAGAUACCAAAUCUAAAUAGGAAUUAGAAUCAAAGGUGCAGACCUGAAAGUGCCCGCAGGAGACCCUGACACUCUUGCUGCCAUGGGGAUGUUUGUGCAUGUCACCUUUCUCACCUCAGACUUCCAAACCCUCUGGUUUAAAAAGUGUAGUUUCUGGAACCCAAUGUCUAUGUUCAUUGUAAAAAUUAUUUUACAUAAAUGGUGUCUAAUUAUUUAGCCACAUGUUUUAUUUGGGGAUCUCUUUUAUUUUCUUUCUUUUUUUAUGAGGAUGUUAAGUCCAGAGAUUUCCUCAGUGAGAAACAAUGACGUAUUUAUCUGGAAACAGUUAUCUAGAAACAGUUACAUCUUUGAAUUCCUGGAUAAGGGAUUAAUGAUCUUCAGAUUGUUAGUUGCAUGACAAAACGUUGAAAUUGGCAGUCAGCAAAGGCUGAAACCAAAGCCAUAGUUAUUAUCUUAUAAUUGCAAGCUAUUUCGAGUCAAUGAAAAUGAAGUUAAGAUUUUUAAAAUCUGUACACUACUUGUGAUUUCCAAAAAUGGCACUGCUUUCUAGUCAACUUUUUUAUCCUCUUGUUUUAUACGUUAAGAAUUUUCAUGCAAUUACUACACAAAUGUGUGCAGUUUUGUAGUGGAGUAUGGAACUAGGAUAACUUGUUUUUUGUUUGUUUGUUUGUUUUUUGUUUUUUUGUUUUUUUGUCUUUUUAGGGUCGCACCUAUGGCAUACAGAGGUUCCCAGGCUAGGGGUCCAACUGGAGCUGUAGCUGCCGGCCUACCCCACAGCCACAGCAACACAGGAGCCAAGCCACAUCUGUGACAUACACCACGGCCCAUGGCAACCCCGGAUCCUUAAGUGAGGCCACGGAUCGAACCUGCAACUUCAUGGUUCCUGGUCAGAUUCUUUUCUGCUGUGCCACGAUGGGAACUCCUAGGAUAACCUAUUCUUACUUUCAUGGGAUUUCUUUCUUUUCUCUUCUUUCUUUCUUUCUUUCUUUCUUUCUUUCUUUCUUUUUUUUUUUUUUUUUUUUGACUGCAUCCCCUGCAUAUAGAAGUUCCCAGGCUAGCCAGGGACAGAACCCAAACCAUGGCAGUGACCCGAGCCACAGCAGUAACAAUGCCAAAUCCUUAACAGCUAGGCCACCAGGGAACUAACAGGAUUUCUUUGAAACAUUUUUCCUAAGGUUAUUUAAAUGUAAGCACUAAUAUAUUCUAACAAAGAGCCUUCUUUUUCCCCUUUUCUUUUAUCCCUGUACUUAGAUACCUAAAUUAAAAAUUUCAGUAAAUUGAUAGAAACUCAUAUAUUAACACAGUAUAGCAAGAGAACACUCAGUGGAGGCCCUCAGUCCACUUCCUCCAGUGCCCUUGAAGGAAGGAGAACUCCGAGGCUGAGCUGAGGUGGGUAUCACUGCAAAGAGCUGGAGAACCUGCUAUGCCUACUGAAGGCACAAUCGUGAUGAGGUGAGAUGUGGCCCCAGAUAACUCUUCACCAGCCCCUGCUCCAUAGAGCAUCCAGGAGGCCUUCUCCAUGCUGACAUCAUUUUCUUCCUGCAGUGGUUGGGAUACAGUCGUUUUUUUCUCUGAGUAGCUCUAUUCCAUGUGCUGUAACCCAGACUUGAGGAUUUCCAUUGGUUGGCUUAGAGGAAUAUAUUUCUUGGGGACUCCAGUUUAAGAACAGGAAUAUCCUUCUGGGGAACACCAUUCUGUCAUUAUGACUUUUUUGAUAGCUCUGCCAGCAAGAAGCUUAUAUUCUAGGAGGGUUAAUCUCCAAGUUGUCUAAGCUGUAGAAGGUAUAGAUAAUGCCAAGGUGUUGGAAGAGAUUCAUCUGUUCCUUGAAUGAUCUGUUCAUGUGGCAUGCCCCAUGCUAGUUGCUUUUGUGUAGAGAUGGCCAAAGAUUGCAAAGAUCUCCUUUGCUUCUACAGGGUCUGCGUGGUCCCUGUAGGUCCUGUAAGUCUCUCAGAUAUUCCCAUACGGUGUCUAGAAAGCUCAGAAAUUAAUCAGCUUCUUUCUUGCAAACCUGAGGUUAAGACUGUUUGUGAUCGCUCACAUACAUCUUGCUGAGAGCUCUUCUGGAGUCUCCUUGGAGCUCUGUGUAGUAACCAUCUCACAAAUGCCAGUUGCUUUUGGACCCCACACCUCAGACACGUCUCUCUCCAGGCUUCUGUCCUAAGACAGGCAAGAAAGCUGGAACUACUGACACCUUUUGGCUCAGCCCUGCCCCUUCCUUUUUUCUCCACCCAGCCCCCGGGGGAAGUUUUUGUUAGUUUUUCCUCUCUUUGAUUUUAUUUCAGUUGUCUUUUUAGGGCUCUACCUGUGGCACAUGGAAGUUCCCAGGCUAGGGGUUGAAUCAGAGCUGGAGCUUCCAGCCUACCACAGCCACAGCAACUCUGGAUCCGAGCCACAUCUGCAACCUACACUGCAGCUUGUGGCAACACCGGAUCCUUAACCCACUGAGCGAGGCCAGGGAUCAAACCCGCAUCCUCAUGGAUACUUUUAGAUUCCUAACCCGAUGAGCCACAACAGGAACUCCCUCUUUGAUCUCAUUUUAAAAAUCACUCUGGGAGUUCCCUUCGUGGUGCAGUGGUUAAUGAAUCCGACUAGGAACCCUGAGGUUUCGGGUUCAACCCCUGGCCUUGCUCAGUGGGUUAAAGAUUCGGCGUUGCCGUGAGCUGUGGUGUAGGUCGCAGAUACAGCUCUGAUCUCGCGUUGCUGUGGCACUGGUUAGGCGGUGGCUACAGCUCCGAUUCGACCCCUAGCCUGGGAACCUCCAUAUGCCUGGGAGUGGCCCCAGAAAAGGCAAAAAAGACCAAAAAAAAAACAAAAACAAAAACAAAAAAAAUCACUGGAAAUUUCAUCAAUGGGACACAAAGCUCAGAGAUUUCUCUCCCCCACCCCCUCCCCUGCUUCCUUCCCUGAGGCCAGAGCUCAGGUCUGACAAUGUGCUUAAAAGAGGCAAGAAGAGGAAAGAUGUAGGAAAACCCAGGGAUAAAAUGGUGGUUGAGGUUGGGAAAAUACAACUGUCAAACAGGAAGGCCACGGCCAGGACAGGCUUUUAGUGCUCUAAGAAGUGUUCAGGGGAGUUCCUGCUGUGGCGGUUAAGGAUCCAGUGUUGUCUCUAUAGCAGCUCGGGUCGCUGCUGCGGCUCAGAUUCAACCCCUGGCCCAGGAACUUCCACCUGCCACUGGUGCGGUCAAAAAAAGAAAGACAAAGAAAAUAACAGAAGAAAAGAACCGACUCUGCCUCUACAUUUAACACUAAUUUCUUCCUUCAGUAGGUUCUCUGGAGGAGCUGAAUCGAAGCUGGACUUCGAUGGGUGGCUACAUUGUGGGCAGGUAAGGGGCCAGAAUAUUGCAUUCUAGAUGGAGAAUAAUGAUCCUCCAGAUACAGGAAGGCAAGAAUAAGGAAGGCUGGAGCUGGGAAGAUUCUGAAGAGCCUUGAAUCCCAGGUAGGGAGAACAGUUUUAAUCAGCGAAACAGUAUUUUCUAAAAUGGGUUCAGUUAAUGUAAAUAAAUAAACAAGGACUUUUACCAUCAAAUUAAACGAUUUGUAAAUUCUUACAAAUGUUUCUUUCUUUUUUUGGCGGGGGGGGGGGGCAUGCCCAGGGCAUGCAGAAAUUCCCAGGCCAAGGAUAGAACCCUUGCCACAGCAGCAACCCGAUUCCCGUUGUGGCUCAGCAGGUCACGAAUCUGACUAGUAUCCAUGAGGAUGCAGGUUCGAUCCCGGGUCUUGCUCAGUGGGUUAAUGAUCUGGCAUUGCCGUGAGCUGUCGUGUAGGUCGCAGACAUGUCUCAGAUCCCAAGUUGCUGUGGCUGUGGUGUAGGCCAGCAGCUACAGCUCUGAUUAGACCCCUAGACUGGGAACCUCCAU
rnacentral:lncRNA from 1 species